AUCCAAGAGCAUCUUCAUGAGUUCUAAUAUACAACAAUUCCUCAUGGUUCCCAUCUCUUCUGCCUCCACUAUCAAGUUGAGCAUGCAAAGCAGAAGUUUGAGUUUCUGUGCGUGUACUUAAGGUAUUAGAACCACUUUCCAAGAAAUUCUCUUCAGUUGGCAUGCCACUUGUCUUAUCAGCAUAAGAAGGGCCCCUGGCUACCAAUUGAGAAGGUGGAGGUGUCAAUAAAGAUUGUGAAUUUACUGUGUUGACCUCCUGGUUUAUCAUUUGCACAUUCUGUUGGUAAACCAAAUUAAUAUUCUGGUUACUAGAAGGCCGUUCUAGAACUUUUUGAUGAGAACUAGAUUGUUUAGUAAGUCUGGGAGGCAUGCUGCCUGAAGCUGAGUCAGACUGCACGACUUUUCCUCUGCUUUCCUUUUGUCUGUCUUGGGCUUCCCCAGACAGGGUCACAACUGAUGUUAAAUUCGUAUCUUGACGAGCCAUUCUUUUUUCAGAGGUUUGCUGGGAGCUAUCACUAGCACGAAAUUUUGACUUAUUCACGUCAUCUUGGGAUUCACCACUUGAGUGUGCCAAAUGGAGGGCCUGUGAAUCUGUGUGGUAAUAUUGUUCCCUCUCACUUGGAUAUGAAUAUGAAAC
rnacentral:lncRNA from 1 species